rnacentral:rRNA from 1 species
UACGUAGGGGGCAAGCGUUGUCCGGAAUCAUUGGGCGUAAAGAGCGCGUAGGCGGCCCAGUAAGUCCGCUCUGAAAGUCAGAGGCUCAACCUCUGAAUGCGGGUGGAUACUGCUGGGCUAGAGUCCGGAAGAGGCGAGUGGAAUUCCUGGUGUAGCGGUGGAAUGCGCAGAUAUCAGGAGGAACACCGGUGGCGAAGGCGGGUCUCUGGGCAGUAACUGACGCUGAGGAGCGAAAGCGUGGGGAGCGAACAGG